rnacentral:rRNA from 1 species
UGGGGAAUUUUGGACAAUGGGCGAAAGCCUGAUCCAGCCAUGCCGCGUGUCUGAAGAAGGCCUUCGGGUUGUAAAGGACUUUUGUCAGGGAGCAAAACUUACUGGUUAAUACCCGGUGAGGCUGAGAGUACCUGAAGAAUAAGCACCGGCUAACUACGUGCCAGCAGCCGCGGUAAUACGUAGGGUGCAAGCGUUAAUCGGAAUUACUGGGCGUAAAGCGUGCGCAGGCGGACUUUUAAGCCAGAUGUGAAAGCCCCGAGCUUAACUUGGGAAUUGCGUUUGGAACUGGGAGUCUAGAGUCUGUCAGAGGGGGAUGGAAUUCCACGUGUAGCAGUGAAAUGCGUAGAGAUGUGGAGGAACACCGAUGGCGAAGGCAGUCCCCUGGGAUAAGACUGACGCUCAUGCACGAAAGCGUGGGGAGCAAACAGG